AUGCAACUAUGGAAUGAUUUGGAACUACAACUACUGGUGCUCCUAGGCUUCACGCUACAGAUUUUCAUCUUCUUUUCUGGUGGCCUCCGGUGGUGCAGCACCAACUCAAGACUGAGGCUUCUGAUUUUGUUAGCUUACUUGCUAUCUGACAUGGUCGCAGUCUACGCUCUUGGCCAGCUUUCACUGCAUAAAAGUGAUGUGCCUGGAGCUAGAGGGAUGCACCGGCUCUCGUCUUUCUCGACGCCUUUCUCCAUUGAGGACAAUGAGUUUGAGGCACAUGCUCAAUCUACUGGCCCAAGUUGGCUUGGCCUUGUACGUGUCUUGGAAGUCAUCAGCACACAGCCAGUUUCUGAUCCCAGCCAUAUUUGUCUGUGUGGAUGGAAUCAUCAAGUACGUGGAGAGGCCAUGGGCUCUCAAGUGCCCAAGCCGAAAUGCCCUUAG
rnacentral:rRNA from 1 species